rnacentral:tRNA from 1 species
UAUUAAUUAGUGUAAAAUAAACAUUAAUUUUUGAAAUUAAAAAAAAUAGUGUAAUUCUAUUAUUAAUAA